rnacentral:rRNA from 1 species
GUAGGUGGCAAGCGUUGUCCGGGAAUUAUUGGGGCGUAAAGCGCGCGCAGGCGGUUCUUUAAGUCUGAUGUGAAAAGCCCACGGGCUCAACCGUGGAGGGUCAUUGGAAACUGGAGAACUUGAGUACAGAAGAGGAAAGCGGAAUUCCACGUGUAGCGGUGAAAUGCGUAGAGAUGUGGAGGAACACCAGUGGCGAAGGCGGCUUUCUGGUCUGUAACUGACGCUGAGGCGCGAAAGCGUGGGGAGCAAACAGGAUUAGAUACCCUGGUAGUCCACGCCGUAAACGAUGAGUGCUAAGUGUUAGGGGGUUUCCGCCCCUUAGUGCUGCAGCUAACGCAUUAAGCACUCCGCCUGGGGAGUACGGCCGCAAAGGCUGA